UACGGAGGAUCCGAGCGUUAUCCGGAUUUAUUGGGUUUAAAGGGUGCGUAGGCGGUCGGAUAAGUUAGAGGUGAAAUCCCGAGGCUCAACUUCGGAAUUGCCUCUGAUACUGUCUGACUAGAGUGUAGUUGCGGAAGGCGGAAUGUGUGGUGUAGCGGUGAAAUGCUUAGAUAUCACACAGAACCCCGAUUGCGAAGGCAGCAUACCGGUGCACAACUGACGCUCAGGCACGAAAGCGUGGGUAUCGAACAGG
rnacentral:rRNA from 1 species